rnacentral:rRNA from 1 species
UACGUAGGGUGCAAGCGUUGUCCGGAAUUAUUGGGCGUAAAGGGUGUGUAGGCGGUUGUUUAAGUUUGGUGUGAAAUCUCCCGGCUCAACUGGGAGGGUGCGCCGAAUACUGAAUGACUUCGAGUGCGGGAGAGGUGAGUGGAAUUCCUGGUGUAGCGGUGAAAUGCGUAGAUAUCAGGAGGAACACCGGUGGUGUAGACGGCUCACUGGACCGUAACUGACGCUGAGACACGAAAGCGUGGGUAGCAAACAGG